rnacentral:lncRNA from 1 species
AACGCUGUGGUCCAAAGGUCCCUGGUUCAACUCCAGCUCCAAGCACCAGAUUUCAUUUGUAUAUGCACUGUUCAUCCUUUUUCAUUGACCAGUUUGCUUCAUUGUUGUGUUGGCAAAGUGUGUCGCCGAAGCCACUAUGUUUUCUGCGUUUUUAUCUAUAAGCACCUUCAUAGCUCAGUUGGUAGAGCACAUGACUUUAAGAAGUUCCUGAAACGCUGUGGUCCAAAGGACGCUGGUUCAACUCCUGCUCCAAACACCAGAUUUCAUUGGUCUAUGCACUGUUCAACCUUUUUCAUUGACCAUGUUGGUUCAAUAGUUAUGUUGGCAAAGUGUGUCGCCGAAGCCACUAUGUUUUCUGCGUUUUUAUCUAUAAGCACCUUCAUAGCUCAGUUGGUAGAGCACAUGACUUUAAGAAGUUCCUGAAAUGCUGUGGUCCAAAGGUCGCUGGUUCAACUCCAGCUCCAAACACCGGAUUUCAUUUGUAUAUGCACUGUUCAUCCUUUUUCAUUGACCAGUUUGCUUCAUUGUUGUGUUGGCAAAGUGUGUCGCCGAAGCCACUAUGUUUUCUGCGUUUUUAUCUAUAAGCACCUUCAUAGCUCAGUUGGUAGAGCACAUGACUUUAAGAAGUUCCUGAAACGCUGUGGUCCAAAGGACGCUGGUUCAACUCCAGCUCCAAACUCCAGAUUUCAUUGGUGUAUGCACUGUUCAACCUUUUUCAUUGACCAUGUUGGUUCAAUAGUUAUGUUGGCAAAGUGUGUCGCCGAAGCCACUAUGUUUUCUGCGUUUUUAUCUAUAAGCACCUUCAUAGCUCAGUUGGUAGAGCACAUGACUUUAAGAAGUUCCUGAAAUGCUGUGGUCCAAAGGUCGCUGGUUCAACUCCAGCUCCAAGCACCGGAUUUCAUUUGUAUAUGCACUGUUCAUCCUUUUUCAUUGACCAGGUGGCUUGAUUGUUGUUUUGGCAAAGUGUGUCGCCCAAGCCACUAUGUUUUCUGCGUUUUUAUCUAUAAGCACCUUCAUAGCUCAGUUGGUAGAGCACAUGACUUUAAGAAGUUCCUGAAACGCUGUUGUCCAAAGGACGCUGGUUCAACUCCAGCUCCAAACACCAGAUUUCAUUGGUGUAUGCACUGUUCAACCUUUUCCAUUGACCAUGUUGGUUCAAUAGUUAUGUUGGCAAAGUGUGUCGCCGAAGCCACUAUGUUUUCUGCGUUUUUAUCUAUAAGCACCUUCAUAGCUCAGUUGGUAGAGCACAUGACUUUAAGAAGUUCCUGAAACGCUGUGGUCCAAAGGACGCUGGUUCAACUCCUGCUCCAAACACCAGAUUUCAUUUGUAUAUGCACUGUUCAUCCUUUUUCAUUGACCAGGUGGCUUGAUUGUUGUUUUGGCAAAGUGUGUCGCCGAAGCCACUAUGUUUUCUGCGUUUUUAUCUAUAAGCACCUUCAUAGCUCAGUUGGUAGAGCACAUGACUGUAAGAAGUUCCUGAAACGCUGUGGUCCAAAGGUCGCUGGUUCAACUCCUACUCCAAACACCAGAUUUCAAUGGUCUAUGCACUGUUCAACCUUUUUCAUUGACCAGGUGGCUUGAUUGUUGUUUUGGCAAAGUGUGUCGCCGAAGCCACUAUGUUUUCUGCGUUUUUAUCUAUAAGCACCUUCAUAGCUCAGUUGGUAGAGCACAUGACUUUAAGAAGUUCCUGAAACGCUGUGGUCCAAAGGACGCUGGUUCAACUCCUGCUCCAAACACCAGAUUUCAUUUGUAUAUGCACUGUUCAUCCUUUUUCAUUGACCAGGUGGCUUGAUUGUUGUUUUGGCAAAGUGUGUCGCCGAAGCCACUAUGUUUUCUGCGUUUUUAUCUAUAAGCACCUUCAUAGCCCAGUUGGUAGAGCACAUGACUGUAAGAAGUUCCUGAAACGCUGUGGUCCAAAGGUCGCUGGUUCAACUCCUACUCCAAACACCAGAUUUCAAUGGUCUAUGCACUGUUCAACCUUUUUCAUUGACCAGGUGGCUUGAUUGUUGUUUUGGCAAAGUGUGUCGCCGAAGCCACUAUGUUUUCUGCGUUUUUAUCUAUAAGCACCUUCAUAGCUCAUUUGGUAGAGCACAUGACUUUAAGAAGUUCUAGAAACGCUCUGGUUCAAAGGUCGCUGGUUCAACUCCUGCUCCAAACACCAGAUUUCAUUGGUCUAUGCACUGUUCAACCUUUUUCCUUGACCAGGUGGCUUGAUUGUUGUGUUGGCAAAGUGUGUCGCCGAAGCCACUAUGUUUUCUGCGUUUUUAUCUAUAAGCACCUUCAUAGCUCAGUUGGUAGAGCACAUGACUUUAAGAAGUUCCUGAAACGCUGUGGUCCAAAGGACGCUGGUUCAACUCCUGCUCCAAACACCAGAUUUCAUUGGUGUAUGCACUGUUCAACCUUUUUCAUUGACCAGGUGGCUUGAUUGUUGUUUUGGCAAAGUGUGUCGCCGAAGCCACUAUGUUUUCUGCGUUUUUAUCUAUAAGCACCUUCAUAGCUCAGUUGGUAGAGCACAUGACUUUAAGAAGUUCCUGAAAUGCUGUGGUCCAAAGGUCGCUGGUUCAACUCCAGCUCCAAGCACCGGAUUUCAUUUGUAUAUGCACUGUUCAUCCUUUUUCAUUGACCAGGUGGCUUGAUUGUUGUUUUGGCAAAGUGUGUCGCCCAAGCCACUAUGUUUUCUGCGUUUUUAUCUAUAAGCACCUUCAUAGCUCAGUUGGUAGAGCACAUGACUUUAAGAAGUUCCUGAAACGCUGUUGUCCAAAGGACGCUGGUUCAACUCCAGCUCCAAACACCAGAUUUCAUUGGUGUAUGCACUGUUCAACCUUUUCCAUUGACCAUGUUGGUUCAAUAGUUAUGUUGGCAAAGUGUGUCGCCGAAGCCACUAUGUUUUCUGCGUUUUUAUCUAUAAGCACCUUCAUAGCUCAGUUGGUAGAGCACAUGACUUUAAGAAGUUCCUGAAACGCUGUGGUCCAAAGGACGCUGGUUCAACUCCUGCUCCAAACACCAGAUUUCAUUUGUAUAUGCACUGUUCAUCCUUUUUCAUUGACCAGGUGGCUUGAUUGUUGUUUUGGCAAAGUGUGUCGCCGAAGCCACUAUGUUUUCUGCGUUUUUAUCUAUAAGCACCUUUAUAGCUCAGUUGGUAGAGCACAUGACUGUAAGAAGUUCCUGAAACGCUGUGGUCCAAAGGUCGCUGGUUCAACUCCUACUCCAAACACCAGAUUUCAAUGGUCUAUGCACUGUUCAACCUUUUUCAUUGACCAGGUGGCUUGAUUGUUGUUUUGGCAAAGUGUGUCGCCGAAGCCACUAUGUUUUCUGCGUUUUUAUCUAUAAGCACCUUCAUAGCUCAGUUGGUAGAGCACAUGACUUUAAGAAGUUCCUGAAACGCUGUGGUCCAAAGGACGCUGGUUCAACUCCUGCUCCAAACACCAGAUUUCAUUUGUAUAUGCACUGUUCAUCCUUUUUCAUUGACCAGGUGGCUUGAUUGUUGUUUUGGCAAAGUGUGUCGCCGAAGCCACUAUGUUUUCUGCGUUUUUAUCUAUAAGCACCUUCAUAGCCCAGUUGGUAGAGCACAUGACUGUAAGAAGUUCCUGAAACGCUGUGGUCCAAAGGUCGCUGGUUCAACUCCUACUCCAAACACCAGAUUUCAAUGGUCUAUGCACUGUUCAACCUUUUUCAUUGACCAGGUGGCUUGAUUGUUGUUUUGGCAAAGUGUGUCGCCGAAGCCACUAUGUUUUCUGCGUUUUUAUCUAUAAGCACCUUCAUAGCUCAUUUGGUAGAGCACAUGACUUUAAGAAGUUCUAGAAACGCUCUGGUUCAAAGGUCGCUGGUUCAACUCCUGCUCCAAACACCAGAUUUCAUUGGUCUAUGCACUGUUCAACCUUUUUCCUUGACCAGGUGGCUUGAUUGUUGUGUUGGCAAAGUGUGUCGCCGAAGCCACUAUGUUUUCUGCGUUUUUAUCUAUAAGCACCUUCAUAGCUCAGUUGGUAGAGCACAUGACUUUAAGAAGUUCCUGAAACGCUGUGGUCCAAAGGACGCUGGUUCAACUCCUGCUCCAAACACCAGAUUUCAUUGGUGUAUGCACUGUUCAACAUUUUUCAUUGACCAUGUUGGAUCAAUAGUUAUGUUGGCAAAGUGUGUCGCCGAAGCCACUAUGUUUUCUGCGUUUUUAUCUAUAAGCACCUUCAUAGCUCAGUUGGUAGAGCACAUGACUUUAAGAAGUUCCUGAAACGCUGUGGUCCAAAGGACGCUGGUUCAACUCCUGCUCCAAACACCAGAUUUCAUUUGUAUAUGCACUGUUCAUCCUUUUUCAUUGACCAGGUGGCUUGAUUGUUGUUAUGGCAAAGUGUGUCGCCGAAGCCACUAUGUUUUCUGCGUUUUUAUCUAUAAGCACUUUCAUAGCUCAGUUGGUAGAGCACAUGACUGUAAGAAGUUCCUGAAACGCUGUGGUCCAAAGGUCGCUGGUUCAACUCCUACUCCAAACACCAGAUUUCAAUGGUCUAUGCACUGUUCAACCUUUUUCAUUGACCAGGUGGCUUGAUUGUUGUUUUGGCAAAGUGUGUCGCCGAAGCCACUAUGUUUUCUGCGUUUUUAUCUAUAAGCACCUUCAUAGCUCAGUUGGUAGAGCACAUGACUUUAAGAAGUUCCUGAAACGCUGUGGUCCAAAGGUCGCUGGUUCAACUCCUGCUCCAAACACCAGAUUUCAUUUGUAUAUGCACUGUUCAUCCUUUUUCAUUGACCAGGUGGCUUGAUUGUUGUUUUGGCAAAGUGUGUCGCCGAAGCCACUAUGUUUUCUGCGUUUUUAUCUAUAAGCACCUUCAUAGCUCAGUUGGUAGAGCACAUGACUGUAAGAAGUUCCUGAAACGCUGUGGUCCAAAGGUCGCUGGUUCAACUCCUACUCCAAACACCAGAUUUCAAUGUUCUAUGCACUGUUCAACCUUUUUCAUUGACCAGGUGGCUUGAUUGUUGUUUUGGCAAAGUGUGUCGCCGAAGCCACUAUGUUUUCUGCGUUUUUAUCUAUAAGCACCUUCAUAGCUCAGUUGGUAGAGCACAUGACUUUAAGAAGUUCCUGAAACGCUGUGGUCCAAAGGUCGCUGGUUCAACUCCAGCUCCAAGCAACAGAUUUCAUUUGUAUAUGCACUGUUCAUCCUUUUUCAUUGACCAGGUGGCUUGAUUGUUGUUUUGGCAAAGUGUGUCGCCGAAGCCACUAUGUUUUCUGCGUUUUUAUCUAUAAGCACCUUCAUAGCUCAUUUGGUAGAGCACAUGACUUUAAGAAGUUCUAGAAACGCUCUGGUUCAAAGGUCGCUGGUUCAACUCCUGCUCCAAACACCAGAUUUCAUUGGUCUAUGCACUGUUCAACCUUUUUCAUUGACCAGGUGGCUUGAUUGUUGUGUUGGCAAAGUGUGUCGCCGAAGCCACUAUGUUUUCUCCGUUUUCAUCUAUAAGCACCUUCAUAGCUCAUUUGGUAGAGCACAUGACUGUAAGAAGUUCCUGAAACGCUGUGGUCCAAAGGUCCCUGGUUCAACUCCAGCUCCAAGCACCAGAUUUCAUUUGUAUAUGCACUGUUCAUCCUUUUUCAUUGACCAGUUUGCUUCAUUGUUGUGUUGGCAAAGUGUGUCGCCGAAGCCACUAUGUUUUCUGCGUUUUUAUCUAUAAGCACCUUCAUAGCUCAGUUGGUAGAGCACAUGACUUUAAGAAGUUCCUGAAACGCUGUGGUCCAAAGGACGCUGGUUCAACUCCUGCUCCAAACACCAGAUUUCAUUGGUCUAUGCACUGUUCAACCUUUUUCAUUGACCAUGUUGGUUCAAUAGUUAUGUUGGCAAAGUGUGUCGCCGAAGCCACUAUGUUUUCUGCGUUUUUAUCUAUAAGCACCUUCAUAGCUCAGUUGGUAGAGCACAUGACUUUAAGAAGUUCCUGAAAUGCUGUGGUCCAAAGGUCGCUGGUUCAACUCCAGCUCCAAACACCGGAUUUCAUUUGUAUAUGCACUGUUCAUCCUUUUUCAUUGACCAGGUGGCUUGAUUGUUGUUUUGGCAAAGUGUGUCGCCGAAGCCACUAUGUUUUCUGCGUUUUUAUCUAUAAGCACCUUCAUAGCUCAGUUGGUAGAGCACAUGACUUUAAGAAGUUCCUGAAACGCUGUGGUCCAAAGGACGCUGGUUCAACUCCAGCUCCAAACACCAGAUUUCAUUGGUGUAUGCACUGUUCAACCUUUUUCAUUGACCAUGUUGGUUCAAUAGUUAUGUUGGCAAAGUGUGUCGCCGAAGCCACUAUGUUUUCUGCGUUUUUAUCUAUAAGCACCUUCAUAGCUCAGUUGGUAGAGCACAUGACUUUAAGAAGUUCCUGAAAUGCUGUGGUCCAAAGGUCGCUGGUUCAACUCCAGCUCCAAGCACCAGAUUUCAUUUGUAUAUGCACUGUUCAUCCUUUUUCAUUGACCAGGUGGCUUGAUUGUUGUUUUGGCAAAGUGUGUCGCCCAAGCCACUAUGUUUUCUGCGUUUUUAUCUAUAAGCACCUUCAUAGCUCAGUUGGUAGAGCACAUGACUUUAAUAAGUUCCUGAAACGCUGUGGUCCAAAGGACGCUGGUUCAACUCCAGCUCCAAACACCAGAUUUCAUUGGUGUAUGCACUGUUCAACCUUUUUCAUUGACCAUGUUGGUUCAAUAGUUAUGUUGGCAAAGUGUGUCGCCGAAGCCACUAUGUUUUCUGCGUUUUUAUCUAUAAGCACCUUCAUAGCUCAGUUGGUAAAGCACAUGACUUUAAGAAGUUCCUGAAAUGCUGUGGUCCAAAGGUCGCUGGUUCAACUCCAGCUCCAAGCACCGGAUUUCAUUUGUAUAUGCACUGUUCAUCCUUUUUCAUUGACCAGGUGGCUUGAUUGUUGUUUUGGCAAAGUGUGUCGCCCAAGCCACUAUGUUUUCUGCGUUUUUAUCUAUAAGCACCUUCAUAGCUCAGUUGGUAGAGCACAUGACUUUAAGAAGUUCCUGAAACGCUGUUGUCCAAAGGACGCUGGUUCAACUCCAGCUCCAAACACCAGAUUUCAUUGGUGUAUGCACUGUUCAACCUUUUCCAUUGACCAUGUUGGUUCAAUAGUUAUGUUGGCAAAGUGUGUCGCCGAAGCCACUAUGUUUUCUGCGUUUUUAUCUAUAAGCACCUUCAUAGCUCAGUUGGUAGAGCACAUGACUUUAAGAAGUUCCUGAAACGCUGUGGUCCAAAGGACGCUGGUUCAACUCCUGCUCCAAACACCAGAUUUCAUUUGUAUAUGCACUGUUCAUCCUUUUUCAUUGACCAGGUGGCUUGAUUGUUGUUUUGGCAAAGUGUGUCGCCGAAGCCACUAUGUUUUCUGCGUUUUUAUCUAUAAGCACCUUCAUAGCUCAGUUGGUAGAGCACAUGACUGUAAGAAGUUCCUGAAACGCUGUGGUCCAAAGGUCGCUGGUUCAACUCCUACUCCAAACACCAGAUUUCAAUGGUCUAUGCACUGUUCAACCUUUUUCAUUGACCAGGUGGCUUGAUUGUUGUUUUGGCAAAGUGUGUCGCCGAAGCCACUAUGUUUUCUGCGUUUUUAUCUAUAAGCACCUUCAUAGCUCAGUUGGUAGAGCACAUGACUUUAAGAAGUUCCUGAAACGCUGUGGUCCAAAGGUCGCUGGUCCAACUCCUACUCCAAACACCAGAUUUCAUUUGUAUAUGCACUGUUCAACCUUUUUCAUUGACCAGGUGGCUUGAUUGUUGUUUUGGCAAAGUGUGUCGCCGAAGCCACUAUGUUUUCUGCGUUUUUAUCUAUAAGCACCUUCAUAGCUCAGUUGGUAGAGCACAUGACUUUAAGAAGUUCCUGAAACGCUGUGGUCCAAAGGUCGCUAGUUCAACUCCAGCUCCAAGCACCAGAUUUCAAUGUUCUAUGCACUGUUCAUCCUUUUUCAUUGACCAGGUGGCUUGAUUGUUGUUUUGGCAAAGUGUGUCGCCGAAGCCACCAUGUUUUCUGCGUUUUUAUCUAUAAGCACCUUCAUAUCUCAGUUGGUAGAGCACAUGACUGUAAGAAGUUCCUGAAACGCUGUGGUCCAAAGGUCGCUGGUUCAACUCCUGCUCCAAACACCAGAUUUCAAUGCUCUAUGCACUGUUCAACCUUUUUCAUUGACCAGGUGGCUUGAUUGUUGUUUUGGCAAAGUGUGUCGCCGAAGCCACUAUGUUUUCUGCGUUUUUAUCUAUAAGCACCUUCAUAGCUCAGUUGGUAGAGCACAUGACUUUAAGAAGUUCCUGAAACGCUGUGGUCCAAAGGUCGCUGGUUCAACUCCUGCUCCAAGCAACAGAUUUCAUUUGUAUAUGCACUGUUCAUCCUUUUUCAUUGACCAGGUGGCUUGAUUGUUGUUUUGGCAAAGUGUGUCGCCGAAGCCACUAUGUUUUCUGCGUUUUCAUCUAUAAGCACCUUCAUAGCUCAGUUGGUAGAGCACAUGACUGUAAGAAGUUCCUGAAACGCUGUGGUCCAAAG